AUGUCAACACAGACAUCUGUAACUGAUCUCUGUCCUGCGGAUACCUAUCGCCACAAUUGCCUCCAAAUGAAGCUGCACUGUUCCUGCAAAAUCAGAAUUAGAAGUGAGGACUUCUCUUUCAACAUAUCAGUCAUGCAAGGCCAAGCGAGAUGCAGGGAAGGGAGCAGAGCUGGCAGGAGGAGCAGCUAUAUUUACAGAGCCAACGAAAAGCAACAUUGGCCACAAGGGUACCUCAGCUUGGAGGCAAUGGUUCAUUUUUCUAAGAACAGCAUGCUGUUUGCUUGA
rnacentral:lncRNA from 1 species